rnacentral:rRNA from 1 species
AUGAACGCUGGCGGCGUGCCUAAUACAUGCAAGUCGAGCGAACGGACGAGAAGCUUGCUUCUCUGAUGUUAGCGGCGGACGGGUGAGUAACACGUGGAUAACCUACCUAUAAGACUGGGAUAACUUCGGGAAACCGGAGCUAAUACCGGAUGAUAUUUUGAACCGCAUGGUUCAAAAGUGAAAGACGGUCUUGCUGUCACUUAUAGAUGGAUCCGCGCUGCAUUAGCUAGUUGGUAAGGUAACGGCUUACCAAGGCAACGAUGCAUAGCCGACCUGAGAGGGUGAUCGGCCACACUGGAACUGAGACACGGUCAAGACUCCUACGGGAGGCAGCAGUAGGGAAUCUUCCGCAAUGGGCGAAAGCCUGACGGAGCAACACCGCGUGAGUGAUGAAGGUCUUCGGAUCGUAAAACUCUGUCAUUAGGGAAGAACAUAUGUGUAAGUAACUGUGCACAUCUUGACGGUACCUAAUCAGAAAGCCACGGCUAACUACGUG